rnacentral:lncRNA from 1 species
CGCAAUUCGUAAGCUCGUGUAUGGGAUGGUUUUGUUGACAUGUAGGACUGCUGACAUUGGCCAAAAGGAAAGUUAUUGGACGAACAGGUCCAAUACAGAUCCACAAAGGAGGCCUAGAAAAAAACUCGGGAGGUACUGCUGCAGAAUUGUCGUUGCAGUGUCAACGAAAGGUGGCGUGGAGGAACUGAACCUGUUCACUACGCAACACAAACAACCGUGACAGCUGUCAUACGCCACGUUAGUAAGCUUAUGCUGGGCUCUAGACUCGCCAAUCUCCGCCGCCACGUAUAAAUCUUUUGGAGCAUUGGAUUUCUCUCGAUGCAUACUUACACCAUUAUACGUACUUUAUGUACCUGCUCAAGAGAAUCCAUUCAUCAUGCACAAAUUACAGAUUCAAGGUUUCGACGCAGGCGGAAGCUGCCAACGUGAAACCGCCCUUUUGGACCAGGCUGAGCUGUGCACCUUGUGACAGAGGCCUGACUCCAUGGAUAUGAGCCACCAGAAACUCCACAAACUGGAUGCCCAACUGGGGCUGAACAUUACUCCGUGAGAGACAUCAUCCAUGCAUCUCUCUGGCAGGGAGUUCAAUCGCAGAUUAUUGACCGGAGUACUGACUGCCUGCUAUGCAUACACUGUUGAGUAGGAACCCAGGUUUGCAGCACUAAAAGAGCACUCGUCACGGAAUGCUGCCUAAGCCAAGGCUUCUAUUCAGACAGAAAAUGGAUCAAGCGCUUGUCGCAUCCGCCC